rnacentral:rRNA from 1 species
AGUCUGACCGAGCGAUGCCGCGUGAGCGAAGAAGGUCUUCGGAUUGUAAAGCUCUGUGAUUAGGGAAGAAGGCUAUUAGGAGGGAAUGCCUAAUAGGUGACGGUACCUAAUUAGAAAGCCACGGCUAAAUACGUGCCAGCAGCCGCGGUAAUU